rnacentral:rRNA from 1 species
GACGAGCGCUGGCGGCGUGCCUAAUACAUGCAAGUAGAACGCUGAAGGAAGGAGCUUGCUCUUUCCGGAUGAGUUGCGAACGGGUGAGUAACGCGUAGGUAACCUGCCUGGUAGUGGGGGAUAACUAUUGGAAACGAUAGCUAAUACCGCAUAACAGUAGAUAUCGCAUGAUAGCUGCUUGAAAGGUGCAAUUGCACCACUACCAGAUGGACCUGCGUUGUAUUAGCUAGUUGGUGAGGUAACGGCUCACCAAGGCAACGAUACAUAGCCGACCUGAGAGGGUGAUCGGCCACACUGGGACUGAGACACGGCCCAGACUCCUACGGGAGGCAGCAGUAGGGAAUCUUCGGCAAUGGACGGAAGUCUGACCGAGCAACGCCGCGUGAGUGAAGAAGGUUUUCGGAUCGUAAAGCUCUGUUGUAAGAGAAGAACGAGUGUGAGAGUGGAAAGUUCACACUGUGACGGUAUCUUACCAGAAAGGGACGGCUAACUACGUGCCAGCAGCCGCGGUAAUACGUAGGUCCCGAGCGUUGUCCGGAUUUAUUGGGCGUAAAGCGAGCGCAGGCGGUUAGAUAAGUCUGAAGUUAAAGGCUGUGGCUUAACCAUAGUACGCUUUGGAAACUGUUUAACUUGAGUGCAAGAGGGGAGAGUGGAAUUCCAUGUGUAGCGGUGAAAUGCGUAGAUAUAUGGAGGAACACCGGUGGCGAAAGCGGCUCUCUGGCUUGUAACUGACGCUGAGGCUCGAAAGCGUGGGGAGCAAACAGG